GAGAACCUAGUAAAACAUCAUUACAUGGCCCUGUCACAGCCAAAUCACAGCCUCUGUGGUCCUCA
rnacentral:tRNA from 1 species